CAUCGCCUCCUGAUAAACAUAGGAGGUCCAGCCUGCCCAGUGACAACGUUCAACGGCCGCGGUACCCUAACCGUGCGAAGGUAGCAUAAUCACUUGUUCUUUAAAUGGGGACUCGUAUCAAAGGCACCACGAGGACUAUACUGUCUCCCCUCUCCAAUCAGUGAAACUGAUCCCCCCGUGAAGAAGCGGGGAUUUAACUAUAAGACGAGAAGACCCCAUGGAGCUUUAGACUUAAUAUACACCCUUGCACAACAUAACAGUAAAGCUAUUAAGAUAUGUAUAUUGUCUUCGGUUGGGGGGACCGCGGAGUAAAACUUAACCUCCACGACAAACGGGCUAACACCCUUAUCCAAGAAACACAUUUCUAAGAGUCAAUAAAUUGUUGUUUAUGACCCAUUUUAUGACUAACGAACCAAGUUACCCUGGGGAUAACAGCGCAAUCUACUUCAAGAGCCCCUAUCGACAAGUAGGUUUACGACCUCGAUGUUGGAUCAGGGAAUCCCAGU
rnacentral:rRNA from 1 species